rnacentral:rRNA from 1 species
ACGGAGGAUGCGAGCGUUAUCCGGAUUUAUUGGGUUUAAAGGGUGCGUAGGCGGAUUAAUAAGUCAGUGGUGAAAACCUGCAGCUUAACUGUGGAACUGCCGUUGAUACUGUUAGUCUUGAGUAUGGUCAAGGUAGGCGGAAUGUGUAAUGUAGCAGUGAAAUGCUUAGAUACUACUCAGAACAUCGAUUGCGAAGUCAGCUUACUGGGCCGUUACUGACGCUUAUGCACUAAAGCGUGGGGAUCGAACAG